CAUUGUCUAAGAGGUGAGGAGUUGGCCCAGUUGAUAUGUGAUGGACUAUUUGAGAGAUCGAAUGAACGGAAGUGACGUCUCCGCUUCCAGGUGCUCGGGUUUAAAACUCCUGGCGCCGGGAUAGUGUUUAUGUAGCCAUGUGCAGGAGGACAGUUUUGACUUCAGCUGUAGUUUUACGUCCUGUUGACGCACCUUCCCAGGCCUGUGUUCAAAGUUUCGUCCUGUUGACGACCUGUUACCCCCUGUUUUCUCCUGUUGUUGGGUUGCCGCAAAUAUUGGACAUGUUUAUCCAACUCUACCAUGGGCGACCUACUUGUGAUGUGGACCUGACCCUCCGCCAUGUAGCAGACAACCCCCCUCAGGUCUUGCGGAGUAUCCUUCCCAAGUGGCGUGGAUGUGGAGAGACACAACAUUUCUCCUGAUGUACCAUGGGCGACCUACUGGUGAUGUGGACCUGACCCUCCGCCAUGUAGCAGACAACCCCCCUCAGGUCUUGCGGAGUAUCUUUCCCAAGUGGCUUGAAUCCUCAUGGAUGAAGGGGGACACAACAGUUCCCCUGCUUGUACCAUGGGUGACCUAACACAAUUCCACUGCAUCUGAUAUUUAACAUUGUAUUUACUAAUAAUUUAAAUAAA